GUUUUUAUUUUCUUUUACACUACAGAGUUCAAACUUGUUCAUUUAAAAAAAAAAUAUAUAUAUAACUAAGGAAAAAACUGUUAUAAAAAUUGUUGUUUAAAGAAUAAGGUGUUUUCUGACUGACCUCUGAGGUCAGAGGUGAGAGGGGAGGGAGGAAGUGAAGUGGGUGCGCUAAUCGUUCGGUGCAGGUGUAAAGUCUGACUACUGGGUUGUGGACUAUAUACAGGAACACUGAACAGAGAAAAGACUGUUUAGAAACAAUGUGGAUGAACUCUAUGUAGAGAGUGUGAGUUUAAGAGUGACGGGACUCAGGUGCACGCGUUAAUGUGAAGAACAAACCUGACGCAGUUAUCUUAAUCACAGGACUACGUUAGCUUCACGUGAGUCGUACAUUUUGCAAAGUCAUAAAGUUUGACUGUACAAACGUUGUGGAACGAUUUGCAACGCGAAUGGUCCUGCAGUGAGUGAACAACGGAGACAGUGAAGGCCGCGCGACUUUUCCGGAGAGACCGAGGACACGUGGUGGCCUAUGCUGCAUCUCUGCCAUGUUCAAAUCAUCGGAUGUAUGAUUCGCACAGUGCGUGUUCGUGGAUAAACACAAGGGAAAACUGAAUCGAGUGAACGGAUAAUCCAAGUGUGUGUUUCGUGUACAAGUUUCACUGUUCCAUUGGAUUUCGUGAGUACUAGCCACUGCACACACUUUCACAUGAGCUCCAACGUAGCGUGCCAACCAGAGACUUAAAUCCCAGCUGGGUACUAUUUCUUUUGUGGGGUUUUCUUUUCUUUUGUCUUCUUUAAAUUUGUUUGUGUUAAUAAAUGUUUGUCCAUACAA